ensembl:lncRNA
UUGGGACUUUCUAGAUUCAUGAAGAUAACUAAUAGCACCUAGGACCAAAGUUUCAGUGGGCAGGGAUGACAAAGAAGAGAAUAUAAAUUUGGUUGUGACUGUUGCUGCACCGGACACAUUUGUUGGCAAUGUUUUGGGUAUGUUUGAAGUUUCUGGUUGCAAACUUGAAGUACUUUGAAGUGUUGCAUCUGCUUUUGUUGUAUUGUUCAGAGGUGUAGUAUUGCUAGUAAGAGUUUCAGCUGCUAUUGGUUUUAUGGAUGUGUGACCUGAAAUUGUAGAUGCUGGUGAUGUUGACGUAUUGUUGUUUGGACCUGAUGCUAUUGGAAAUUCUGGAAAUUCUGCUGUGUUAGUGAAACCUGUAAUAAUUCCAGUGGUAGUUGUUGAUGCAGUUGUGGUUUCUGAAUCCAAGUUUGGGCUUGAAGUUGUUUUGGUUGAAAGUGCAAGUGUGGCUGGAGCAGAAGAUGUACUGGUAAAAGCGACAGUUGUUUUUAAAAGAUCUCCUGAUGUUAGUUGAAAGGCAGUUGUUGUUUGAGUUGCAGUUGAGCUUGGAAUGGUGGCAGUUGCUGUGCUUGGAGCUGUAGCUGAGAUAUCAGCUGGAACUGUAGUGGUGGCCAGAACAUUCAUGGUUGUAAUGGGUGCAGAUGGGGUUCUUGGAGGUUCAGUUGUUUUUGUUGGAGUUAAAGUUGGUAAUAUAGUUACAUGUGAUGAGGAGAUAGGCAAAAUUGUUACAGCAAUAGUUAUGAUCUCUGGAGACACAGUUGUGAUUAUUGGAGGUGCAUUUGUCGUGGUAAUGAGUGUUGCCUGGCUUAGAGCUGGAACUGUAUUUGUGAAAGCAACAGUUGUGCUUGAUAGAGGUACAGUUGUUAUUUGGAAUGCAGUUGUUGUUGCCACUGAAGGAGUGUUCUUGCUUGAUGUUGUUGGAUCAUUAGUUGUUUUAGAUGUGGUUGAUGAAGCUGUAGUUGCGGUCUCUGCUGUUGUACUUUCUGAAGUUGUAGGCAGUGUUGUUGAAGUAAUGGGUGUGGUUUUUGUACUCACAACUGUGGAGGUGGGAUUUCAUUGGGGAUGCUGUAGUUAUUGAUCUUGUUACAGGUGCAGUUGUUUCUGAAGAUGUAGGCAUUGUUGAAGUAAGAGUUGUGGAUUCAGAAGUUACAGCUGUUGAUGUUGUUGGAUCAUGUGUUGCAGUAGAUGUGGUUGAUAAAGCUGUAGUCGUGGUUUCUGCUGUUGUACUUUCUGAAGUUGUAGUCAGUGUUGUUGAAGUAGUAGUUGUGGUGGUCUCUGUACUCACAACUGUGGUUGUUGGAAUUUCGCUAGUUGACAAUCCUUUAGUUGCUGAUGUUGUUACAGGUGCAGUUGUUUCUGAAGAUGUAGGUAUCGUUGAUGAAGUAAGAGUUGUGGAUUCUGAAGUUACAGCUGUUGAUGUAGCUGGAUUGUUUGUUUUUGUAGAUGUGGUUGAUGAAGCUGUAGUUGUGGUUUCUGCUGUUGUACUUUCAGAAGUUGUAGGCAGUGUUGUUGAAGUAGUCGUUGUGGUCUCUGUACUCACAACUGUGGUUGUUGGAAUUUCGCUAGUUGACAAUCCUUUAGUUGCUGAUUUUGUUACAGGUGCAGUUGUUUCUGAAGAUGUAGGUAUCGUUGUUGAAGUAAGAGUUGUGGAUUCUGAAGUUACAGCUGUUGAUGUUGCUGGAUUGUUUGUUUUUGUAGAUGUGGUUGAUGAAGCUGUAGUUGUGGUUUCUGCUGUUGUACUUUCUGAAGUUGUAGGCAGUGUUGCUGAAGUAGUAGUUGUGGUCUCUGUACUCACAACUGUGGUUGUUGGAAUUUCGCUAGUUGACAAUCCUUUAGUUGCUGAUGUUGUUACAGGUGCAGUUGUUUCUGAAGAUGUAGGUAUCGUUGAUGAAGCUGUAGUUGUGGUUUCUGCUGUUGUACUUUCUGAAGUUGUAGGCAGUGUUUCUGAGGUAGUAGUUGUGGUCUCUGUACUCACAACUGUGGUUGUUGGAAUUUCACUAGUUGACAAUCCUUUAGUUGCUGUUAUUCUUACAGGUGCAAUUGUUUCUGAAGAUGUAGGCAUUGUUGAUGUAAGAGUUGUGGAUUCUGAAGUUACAGCUGCUGAUGUCGUUGGAUCAUUUGUUGUUGUAGAUGUGGUUGAUGAAGCUGUAGUUGCGGUCUCUGCUGUUGUACUUUCUGAAGUUGUAGGCAGUGUUGUUGAAGUAAUGCGUGUGGUUUCGGUCCUCACAACUGUGUUGGUGGGAAUUUCAGUAGUUGAGGAUGCUGUAAUUACUGAUGUUGUUACAGGUGCAGUUGUUUCUGAAGAUGUAGGUAUCGUUGUUGAAGUAAGAGUUGUGGAUUCUGAAGUUACAGCUGUUGAUGUUGCUGGAUUGUUUGUUGUUGUAGAUGUGGUUGAUGAAGCUGUAGUUGUGGUUUCUGCUGUUGUACUUUCUGAAGUUGUAGGCAUUGUUGUGGAAGCAAUAGUUGUGGUUUCUGUACUCACAACUGUGGUGGUGGGAAUUUCAGUAGUUGAGGAUGCUGUAGUUAUUGAUGUUGUUACAGGUGCAGUUGUUUCUGAAGAUGUAGGUAUCGUUGUUGAAGUAAGAGUUGUGGAUUCUGAAGUUACAGCUAUUGAUGUUGCUGGAUUGUUUGUUGUUGUAGAUGUGGUUGAUGAAGCUGUAGUUGUGGUUUCUGCUGUUGUACUUUCUGAAGUUGUAGGCAUUGUUGUGGAAGAAAUAGUUGUGGUUUCUGUACUCACAACUGUGGUGGUGGGAAUUUCAGUAGUUGAGGAUGCUGUAGUUAUUGAUGUUGUUACAGGUGCAGUUGUUUCUGAAGAUGUAGGUAUUGUUGUUGAAGUAAGAGUUGGUUUAAAC